rnacentral:rRNA from 1 species
UUGCGACCUCAAAUCAAGCGAGACUACCCGCUGAACUUAAGCAUAUCAUAAACGCGGAGAGAAAAAAAAGGGAUCAUUUAACGCAAAAAUCCCAAAACCGGGAGAGUAGAGAGGCGUGCGCUCUUGAGGUUCGAAAGGAUCUCGGGUCAUUCUCUCUAUUCCCUCGACACCAAAAGCGAAUUGUUGAAUUCCUUAACAAUUUACUUUCCUGGAAACGCUCUUAAAACGGAACAAUUAAAGUAACCCAAUUAAAGGUCUAAUCAUUUUUUCAUUUUUUUUUCCAGGGGAAAAACUUGGAAAAAACAACAAAUAAUCAAAUACGAUAACUCUUAACGAUGGGAACCUUGGGUCCCAUCCGAGGAAAAAGCGCACCAAAUGCGAAAAAAUCCUGGGGAAUUGGCAGGGGUUCAGCGAAACCAAAAAUCUCAACGCACUGGGGCGCGGGAAUUCUCGCAGACACGCCUUGUGGAGGGCGCUUGUUAACAGAAAUCCCUACAACAAGAAUUUUGUGGGGAAUGGUGGGGAAGGUUGGAAAAUUAUGUCGGGGUCUUAGGGCCACCCCCGGGGGCCUAAGUCCGAAUCCUCUCUUAAAAUAAAAAACAGAAAAGAGGGGGGCUCCCUUUCCCCGUUGGGCCGGAAAGAAAAGAAAAUUAUCCUAAAAAGGUUUGUAUAAAUGUGAGAAAAAGAAUCUCUCUCCGGAGGGGCUUUAUCUUUAAAUUUUGGGUGGGGGAACGGGAGAAAAAGUUUUGGAAAGGGAAAAGGGGGUGGGGGCUGUUUUUUGGGGGUCUUUAGGUCCGCGGGUCCGGUGACCUUGUUAAAACACAAGAAGGAAAGAAGGGGAAGGGAAAAGAAGGGGGGGGAGGAAAAAAAAAAAAUCCACCCACUGCUUCCACCGACUAUCCACCAAGAUAACUCCAAAAAACCCAAAACAAAAAACCCAAAGAAAAACCCAAAAAAAGCCCCCAAAAAAAAAAAAAAAAAAAAAAAAAAAAAAAAAAAAAAA